UUGAUGACAAGGACCAGGUGGGUUAUUGAUGACAAGGACCAGGGGGUUAUUGAUGACAUGGACCAGGUGGGUUAUUGAUGACAAGGACCAGGUGGGUUAUUGAUGACAUGGACCAGGUGGGUUGUUUUCAAGUUUGGGUAUCAUCCUGUUCAAUGAGACCAUGUGGGUUAUUGUUC